UACGAAGGGGGCUAGCGUUGUUCGGAAUCACUGGGCGUAAAGCGCACGCAGGCGGAUCGAUAAGUCGGGGGUGAAAGCCCGGGGCUCAACCUCGGAAUUGCCUACGAUACUGUCGGUCUCGAGUCCGGGAGAGGUGAGUGGAAUUCCUAGUGUAGAGGUGAAAUUCGUAGAGAUUAGGAAGAACACCAGUGGCGAAGGCGGCGCACUGGCCCAGUACUGACGCUCAGGUGCGAAAGCGUGGGGAGCAAACAGG
rnacentral:rRNA from 1 species